rnacentral:rRNA from 1 species
UACGUAGGGCGCAAGCGUUGUCCGGAAUUAUUGGGCGUAAAGAGCUCGUAGGCGGCUUGUCGCGUCGGAUGUGAAAGCCCGGGGCUUAACCCCGGGUCUGCAUUCGAUACGGGGCAGGCUAGAGUGUGGUAGGGGAGAUCGGAAUUCCUGGUGUAGCGGUGAAGAUGCGCAGAUAUCAGGAGGAACACCGGUGGCGAAGGCGGAUCUCUGGGCCAUUACUGACGCUGAGGAGCGAAAGCGUGGGGAGCGAACAGG